AUGUAUAUGAACCAGCAGCUGAGCCACCUGCAGCUGAAGUGUGACCGGUCAGAGUUGCAAUUCACAGGCUGUGCAGACAUGCUGUCCCAAUUUAUAUAUACGAUCCCCAUUGCAGCAGCGUUCCUGGCGGGCCAUUGUCGAGGCGAUGCCGUUUUUCAAACACCUACAUCCACAGUAACUGAAGGCGGUGAAGCAACGUUGAACUGUAACUAUAAUACUACAAGCACUGUUCAAUUUUCAUUACAAUGGUACCGUCAGUAUCCCGGCGGAACUCUGGAGCACCUGUUGCUCAGGACGAAAUACGACGCUAACCCAAGGAAGACCCCAGGACAACGCUUCGCAGCACAGCUGGAUGAUUCGAGGAAAUCGGUACCACUUACUGUGUCUGAAGCGCAGCUAGGAGACGAGGCUCUGUACUUCUGCGCACUGAGACCCACAACGGCACAAACUUAA